rnacentral:lncRNA from 1 species
UCGGCCGUCGAGGACCAGCCUGGUGCGAAGAGAAGUAGGGAAUCGAUGGCGUGACGCGACGGGCAACAAGGAGGCGGCGAUCAUUGGACGACGCCGGGCACGAGACAAGGACGAGGAAGCUGCUGAUAUCCACACCGUAAACCAUCUCCGCCGCUUCUCGGAGCUCGUGCGGCGCAGAGAUAUUUAAAUCGAUCGCCCCGCCCGCUGCCCGGACGCCCAAAAGGGAAGGGAAUGUAUCGUGC